rnacentral:rRNA from 1 species
GUGGGGAAUAUUGGACAAUGGGCGAAAGCCUGAUCCAGCCAUGCCGCGUGUGUGAAGAAGGUCUUCGGAUUGUAAAGCACUUUAAGUUGGGAGGAAGGGCAGUAAGUUAAUACCUUGCUGUUUUGACGUUACCGACAGAAUAAGCACCGGCUAACUUCGUGCCAGCAGCCGCGGUAAUACGAAGGGUGCAAGCGUUAAUCGGAAUUACUGGGCGUAAAGCGCGCGUAGGUGGUUCAGCAAGUUGGAGGUGAAAUCCCCGGGCUCAACCUGGGAACUGACUCCAAAACUACUGAGCUAGAGUACGGUAGAGGGUAGUGGAAUUUCCUGUGUAGCGGUGAAAUGCGUAGAUAUAGGAAGGAACACCAGUGGCGAAGGCGACUACCUGGACUGAUACUGACACUGAGGUGCGAAAGCGUGGGGAGCAAACAGGAUUAGAAACCCGGGUAGUCC